AAGAAGACGUGUAGUGCACAAAACAACACUUCUGAUGAAGCAGAAGAGAGAAAGUCAUACACAUCUGAGAUGGCAUGAGGGGCUUUUUGAUGGGAGAACAAUAAUGUGGUUGUUCCAAACAGAAUUUACCCCCAAAAAUGACCAAAUGGCC